GAGUGUAAAUAUAUUGUCUGAUACACACUCCGGAGCAGAAGGUGGCGGUAAUUCACCAAUAAGUUUUCCACACCCGCUGUAAAAGAAGAAGAAGACGGUAUAUCCAAUCACAGGCGCAUAUUGCUGUGACGUGCUCUUGGAUGAAGGGCGUUGUGAUUUCAAAUUCUCCGUGGGAAAAUCUGGGUUUGACGGCGUUCAAGAGCAGAGUUCUCUACAUUUGGCCCAACAGCUCAAAUAGAAACUCGAGCGCAAGAUCAGAAGGAAGCUCCCACACAGGGCCUUAUGACUGUUGCCCCAGUGAAGAACCCGAGGUCCAGCCUUCCCCACUCAAGACAUGCCUGAGACAAGAGUGACUGUAUUCCAAGGUGAUCCUAACUUAAAUGUAGUUCACCGCUUGAAAAAGACAAAAAUACUCAACACUAUUAACGUUGAAAUCAUUGGUCUAUGGUUAUUACUGUCUUGAAACUACCCUUCACCCUUUGUUUUUGUAUCUAGUUUUGUAUGUUUGUCUCAUCUUCUGUACCAUAAUUAUGCUUGCACAUAUUGCCUACCUAGAAAUGUAACUUGAACCCGAUCUCAGUGGUAUUCUAUACAAUGACAAUAAAGGCUUUCUAUUGUA